GCUAACAUCAUGGGUAUGGACUAUGGAGAGAGUCCCUGCAAACAUUACAAAGAAAAACGGAACGAUAAGUUUUUUUGGACGUGUGUGUGUGCACAAAAUAAAAUUACAAAAAUGGGAUCAUCGUCAUGUCAACUUUGGUGUCGCAGCUUUCCAUGCUCUCCACUCCAUGCUGUUUGGCGGAUUUGAGGCCUGAGCCAGCCAUCGUAACAGCAAAGUUUUGUUUGUGCUGUUGUGCUGGACCUCCAGUCGUAUGAUUUGACUGAUGACAUCAGCAACAAUCACAGCAUCAUAACUUAGGUAAACAUCAUCUGUUAAAUUGGGGAAACUUCCAGCAGCACCCAGUGUCGACCGAGUUAAGGAUCUCUUCCAUUCCCCUUUCUUAAAUGUUCUCGUGUACGCCCAUGCGAGUGUGGGUGUAUUCACGAGGACUCCCUUUUACCUAUCCCUCCUCUGGUGGAUUCAACUUUUAUGUGGCUGGAUGGAGCACAUGUGGAUGCCUGGCUGUUUUUCCCAGGCUCAAAGGUAGGACAAAUUCAUCUCUAUCCUUCCUUUUUGAAAAUUUGGUGGUGUUGAUUUUCAAUCGUUGCGGAAUAUGGAGUACGAUUAUUCCUGGGCCAUGCAGUUGGCCGAAACUUUUUUAUCUCGCUGUUUUUGUUUUUCUCAGUCAGGGUUCAUGCUCACGUGUAGAACGACAACAGAUCAGGCCUGUUUUUGUUACCUCGCAACUUUGUCUGUUGGUAAACAAUCAAAUUCAGAAAUUUUUGAACUUGAAACACUUGAAGCAAAGUGAAACUUGAAUAAUUUUUUACAUCUAAAGGGGCUUGCCACCACACCGGCAAUUCCUGGUUCCCGAUUUGAUAUGUGUAGCGUAAAUAUCGUAGGCAGUUAAUUUUCCAGUUCAUCCGUACCAUUUUUCUCAGAUAGAAGAUGAAAUAAAAGGAAAAAGGAAGCAAAAAAAAGGGAACUUUGAGAGAGAAAUGUUAAUAUCAAACAAUCCAUCACUCGAGGUGAACAACUGAGAACAACAUGGCCUGGCCCUGGACGGUAACGUCCGUUUCCAAAAGCUGGUUCACCUUGUGUUCGUGUGUCAUUGCUGGGCUGAUGGUGGUGAGAGAUGUGAACCAAACAACACUCACUCCAUACAUUUCACCUCCCUAUGUGGUUCGAUUGGUCUAUAACAAAGGAGAGAGAGAAAAAAGAAAUACCCCAAAAGUCAAUCAAAAUGAGAAGAAGAAUAGAAAUCGAAUUUCCGACCUGUGCAACGCGUAUAACAGAGCGAAGAAAUAAGGAAAGAUAGAAGACCGAUUUCCUCCAUUCACUCUCGUUAUAUACGGUAUAUAACUGCUGUAUAAAUGAAUAUGCGAUGUGGGGGGUUGAUGCUAUUAUACAUGGUAGAUAGUAAGGCCCUUGUGUGUUGGGGGGAUGGUAG